GGUUAAGCGACUAAGCGUACACGGUGGAUGCCCUGGCAGUCAGAGGCGAUGAAGGACGUGCUAAUCUGCGAAAAGCGUCGGUAAGGUGAUAUGAACCGUUAUAACCGGCGAUGUCCGAAUGGGGAAACCCAGUGUGUUUCGACACACUAUCAUUAACUGAAUCCAUAGGUUAAUGAGGCGAACCGGGGGAACUGAAACAUCUAAGUACCCCGAGGAAAAGAAAUCAACCGAGAUUCCCCCAGUAGCGGCGAGCGAACGGGGAGGAGCCCAGAGCCUGAAUCAGUGUGUGUGUUAGUGGAAGCGUCUGGAAAGGCGUGCGAUACAGGGUGACAGCCCCGUACACAAAAAUGCACAUGCUGUGAGCUCGAUGAGUAGGGCGGGACACGUGGUAUCCUGUCUGAAUAUGGGGGGACCAUCCUCCAAGGCUAAAUACUCCUGACUGACCGAUAGUGAACCAGUACCGUGAGGGAAAGGCGAAAAGAACCCCGGCGAGGGGAGUGAAAAAGAACCUGAAACCGUGUACGUACAAGCAGUGGGAGCCCUGAUUUAUCAGGGUGACUGCGUACCUUUUGUAUAAUGGGUCAGCGACUUAUAUUCUGUAGCAAGGUUAACCGAAUAGGGGAGCCGGAGGGAAACCGAGUCUUAACUGGGCGUUAAGUUGCAGGGUAUAGACCCGAAACCCGGUGAUCUAGCCAUGGGCAGGUUGAAGGUUGGGUAACACUAACUGGAGGACCGAACCGACUAAUGUUGAAAAAUUAGCGGAUGACUUGUGGCUGGGGGUGAAAGGCCAAUCAAACCGGGAGAUAGCUGGUUCUCCCCGAAAGCUAUUUAGGUAGCGCCUCGUGAAUUCAUCUCCGGGGGUAGAGCACUGUUUCGGCAAGGGGGUCAUCCCGACUUACCAACCCGAUGCAAACUGCGAAUACCGGAGAAUGUUAUCACGGGAGACACACGGCGGGUGCUAACGUCCGUCGUGAAGAGGGAAACAACCCAGACCGCCAGCUAAGGUCCCAAAGUCAUGGUUAAGUGGGAAACGAUGUGGGAAGGCCCAGACAGCCAGGAUGUUGGCUUAGAAGCAGCCAUCAUUUAAAGAAAGCGUAAUAGCUCACUGGUCGAGUCGGCCUGCGCGGAAGAUGUAACGGGGCUAAACCAUGCACCGAAGCUGCGGCAGCGACACUGUGUGUUGUUGGGUAGGGGAGCGUUCUGUAAGCCUGUGAAGGUGUGCUGUGAGGCAUGCUGGAGGUAUCAGAAGUGCGAAUGCUGACAUAAGUAACGAUAAAGCGGGUGAAAAGCCCGCUCGCCGGAAGACCAAGGGUUCCUGUCCAACGUUAAUCGGGGCAGGGUGAGUCGACCCCUAAGGCGAGGCCGAAAGGCGUAGUCGAUGGGAAACAGGUUAAUAUUCCUGUACUUGGUGUUACUGCGAAGGGGGGACGGAGAAGGCUAUGUUGGCCGGGCGACGGUUGUCCCGGUUUAAGCGUGUAGGCUGGUUUUCCAGGCAAAUCCGGAGAAUCAAGGCUGAGGCGUGAUGACGAGGCACUACGGUGCUGAAGCAACAAAUGCCCUGCUUCCAGGAAAAGCCUCUAAGCAUCAGGUAACAUCAAAUCGUACCCCAAACCGACACAGGUGGUCAGGUAGAGAAUACCAAGGCGCUUGAGAGAACUCGGGUGAAGGAACUAGGCAAAAUGGUGCCGUAACUUCGGGAGAAGGCACGCUGAUGGUAGGUGAAGCGACUUGCUCGUGGAGCUGAAAUCAGUCGAAGAUACCAGCUGGCUGCAACUGUUUAUUAAAAACACAGCACUGUGCAAACACGAAAGUGGACGUAUACGGUGUGACGCCUGCCCGGUGCCGGAAGGUUAAUUGAUGGGGUCAGCGCAAGCGAAGCUCUUGAUCGAAGCCCCGGUAAACGGCGGCCGUAACUAUAACGGUCCUAAGGUAGCGAAAUUCCUUGUCGGGUAAGUUCCGACCUGCACGAAUGGCGUAAUGAUGGCCAGGCUGUCUCCACCCGAGACUCAGUGAAAUUGAACUCGCUGUGAAGAUGCAGUGUACCCGCGGCAAGACGGAAAGACCCCGUGAACCUUUACUAUAGCUUGACACUGAACACUGGUCCUUGAUGUGUAGGAUAGGUGGGAGGCUUUGAAGUGUGGACGCCAGUCUGCAUGGAGCCGUCCUUGAAAUACCACCCUUUAAUGGCUGGUGUUCUAACGUGGGCCCGUAAUCCGGGUUGCGGACAGUGUCUGGUGGGUAGUUUGACUGGGGCGGUCUCCUCCUAAAGAGUAACGGAGGAGCACGAAGGUUGGCUAAUCCUGGUCGGACAUCAGGAGGUUAGUGCAAUGGCAUAAGCCAGCUUGACUGCGAGCGUGACGGCGCGAGCAGGUGCGAAAGCAGGUCAUAGUGAUCCGGUGGUUCUGAAUGGAAGGGCCAUCGCUCAACGGAUAAAAGGUACUCCGGGGAUAACAGGCUGAUACCGCCCAAGAGUUCAUAUCGACGGCGGUGUUUGGCACCUCGAUGUCGGCUCAUCACAUCCUGGGGCUGAAGUAGGUCCCAAGGGUAUGGCUGUUCGCCAUUUAAAGUGGUACGCGAGCUGGGUUUAGAACGUCGUGAGACAGUUCGGUCCCUAUCUGCCGUGGGCGCUGGAGAACUGAGGGGGGCUGCUCCUAGUACGAGAGGACCGGAGUGGACGCAUCACUGGUGUUCGGGUUGUCAUGCCAAUGGCACUGCCCGGUAGCUAAAUGCGGAAGAGAUAAGUGCUGAAAGCAUCUAAGCACGAAACUUGCCCCGAGAUGAGUUCUCCCUGAGACUUAGAGUCUCCUGAAGGAACGUUGAAGACGACGACGUUGAUAGGCCGGGUGUGUAAGCGCAGCGAUGCGUUGAGCUAACCGGUACUAAUGAACCGUGAGGCUUAACCUU
rnacentral:rRNA from 1 species